CUCUUGAGAGCGGCGGACGGGUGAGUAAUGCCUAGGAAUCUGCCUGGUAGUGGGGGAUAACGUUCGGAAACGGACGCUAAUACCGCAUACGUCCUACGGGAGAAAGCAGGGGACCUUCGGGCCUUGCGCUAUCAGAUGAGCCUAGGUCGGAUUAGCUAGUUGGUGAGGUAAUGGCUCACCAAGGCGACGAUCCGUAACUGGUCUGAGAGGAUGAUCAGUCACACUGGAACUGAGACACGGUCCAGACUCCUACGGGAGGCAGCAGUGGGGAAUAUUGGACAAUGGGCGAAAGCCUGAUCCAGCCAUGCCGCGUGUGUGAAGAAGGUCUUCGGAUUGUAAAGCACUUUAAGUUGGGAGGAAGGGCAGUUACCUAAUACGUGAUUGUUUUGACGUUACCGACAGAAUAAGCACCGGCUAACUCUGUGCCAGCAGCCGCGGUAAUACAGAGGGUGCAAGCGUUAAUCGGAAUUACUGGGCGUAAAGCGCGCGUAGGUGGUUAGUUAAGUUGGAUGUGAAAUCCCCGGGCUCAACCUGGGAACUGCAUUCAAAACUGACUGACUAGAGUAUGGUAGAGGGUGGUGGAAUUUCCUGUGUAGCGGUGAAAUGCGUAGAUAUAGGAAGGAACACCAGUGGCGAAGGCGACCACCUGG
rnacentral:rRNA from 4 species